GCAGUGUUACAUAGUUUGCCAAAAAUGUUGAUUUAAAAGCAAUGCUGAGGUUUAUGCGAAAACCACGAUUGAGGCACACUGCAGAGAUCGUUUCGACAAUUUCUGAGCCUACAGCUGAUGUUAACGAUAGCCGGAAGUUAUCUAAAACGAAGUGACGGCGCAGGCAGUCAAUAUCAUUCAACUCACGCCCCAGCGACGGCUUUCAAAGGAUAACGUAACCCGAUCUCUAAGGCCAUGCUUUUGCUGGCUGCAGACCACGGAAGCAAUCCAAAAAAAGAAAAUACGUCAUAGAAUUUAUUUCUACGAUAAACUAUAGCGUAAAAUGUGGACUGUUCGGUGGCUUGUUUUGCCUCGCAACAUAUAUACGUAGCUGGGCGUAACACGGCACAAUACAUGAGUUUACUGGUGAAUAUUGUUGGCAUCACGGAGGCCACAACAACCUCACAAGUAUGCAGGUGGCGCUGUUGUUUUUCCUCAGUCUUCAAGAUGGCGGUCGUCUGUGCGAGCUGCAACCGCGCUGCUUACGAUAUAUUUUCUCUAUCGUGUGUUUUUGUGUUUGCUGUAAUGAAACGGGACGUAGUUAGCGUGCACAAAAGUGCCAGAAGAUACCUCGUGUCUCGCUGCGAACUCGCCGUAUGCGUGGCGCGCCAGGCAAAUGUGGACCAACGAUUUUUAUGUCGUGGCCUUUGUCUGGUUGUCGUGGAAAGUUGGGUGGACGUCGAAAAAAAAAUAAUGCGUAUUGUUAGCGUGCCUCAGCUCGUCCACUACGCAGCGACAUCUAUGAUGGGAGUAAUGUCGUCGACGCAGCACCGGCAACUUGGAGAGCGUCGUACCAUUGAAAAGUGGUGAGACCGUGACCCUAUAGCAGUGUCAACAUAAUGGCAGGGAAAUGCAGGGAUCCCGCAGCCAUGGCUACAGCAGGACAGGGUGUAAUCUGGAUGUCAUGUCAGGUAUGUAUGAAGUGUACGUGUACCAGAAACUACGAUCUCAGUAUGAUUUGUGUAUAAGCUUAUCGACAUAUUACUCAACUCAGCUUACUAAAUAGGCUAAAUAGUUAUGCAAUGUUAUUCAACUUGCUGCUUAUUUGUGUUCAUAACAUUAUGCACACAUUAUUGUGUUCUAUAUAAAACUAAACCUAACAUGUCCUGAUGUUUAGCAUGUUUUUCUCGCUUCAAUCACUUGGCUGCAAGUUCACUUAUUUUUGCUUUGCACACAGUAUAUUACUCUCCUUAUUUUGGUUUUAUUGUUUUGAAACUGUUCUUUAUGCUGUAGCUUUUAUUUCUGUAUUUUUUCUCUGUUUAUGCUACACACAUGUGCAGUUUUUGUGCAUGUUAGAAUUCGAACUGUAGUGUGCCAAAUAUGUCACAGGUCUAAGUGUGCAGCGUGCUUACCUUUGCUUACCAUUGUUACUUUAGCAUUGCUAUUUACAAUAAUUUCUGUCUUGUCCUCAGAUUAACUGCCACUGGCAAAUACACAUAUGAUGAGCUUAAAUUUCUUGAAAUGAAAUGUGAAGGUGUAGCCUUGCGACAGCUGAAGUAUGGCAGCAAUGUCGAAGCUAACUUGCGCCAACUAUUACUACAGUAUGCCAACAGAUACCCAUCCCUGUAUUUGUGCAUUUUCUGAGAACCAGCCGUGUCCACUAGGUGAAAUUUGUAGCGUCCUUUUGAGUUUGCCGGUCAGUUCAUGUAACUUUUCAGGACAAAAUUUACACUGUGAGAGAAGGCAGACCAUUACUAAUGGGGCUGGCGCACACGUCUUUUUAUUUAUGCAGUGUGCCUCACUGAUUUCAUGUGUCAAUUUUCCACUGUAGGUGAAAAAUAGGUGACGAUCGUGUAAUCUGGCCAGAAGUCCUAUUGCUGGAAUGCACGGCCAAGACGGAUGAGCAUACUGGCCUUUUGAGUCAAAUAUGGUUAAUAUCUUAAGUACAUACUUAGGCAUUGGCCAGUCUGUACUAUGUGCAUUUGACCACAUGUGAAAGGAGUACAAUACACUGCCUCGGACAAACACUGGACAAAUUUAGUGGUACCUUUAACCAAGGAAGCCUCGCUUGCUUGCCUGCUCGCCUUUCACAGUUCACUUACGGACUGUCGUGCAUAUCCUGUCUACAUUAUUUCUUUCUGGUUAUAUAUGUGCAUAGCAAUCCACAAGCGAAUUGAGAAAGACAUCCAGGCAAGGGAGGCUUGCUUAGUUAAAGAUACCACAAAACUUGUCUUGCAUCCAUCAGGGGUUGUGUGGUCUAUUCCUUUGAUCAUGUGUAUAUUUGGUCAGAUUUACAUGGGGCAGACUGGCCGGUGCCUCAACAUGUGCCUGGGAGAGCACCAACAUAGGUGUGACAUAGUGGACAUAGGCCGACAUAGGCAUGACAUAGUGGACUUGAAAUGCAUGAGAACUAUGCCGGUAGCUCAUGCAAAUAUUCUAUAACGGCUGGCACUUAAAUUUCUCAGGGUUGCAUUGGGUUGCCCGUACACCGGCACUCCUAUGCUUGUUUCCACGCCAAGUGAUCAGAUAGAAGAUUUUCCAAUUGCUGUUAGCAAUCCACAGACACUGCUGCUCUUUGUCGAGUGGAAACCAAUACAGCCAAAGUAGUUCACAACACGGAUGAUUAAUUUUUGGAACAAAGUGCAGCUGUCCGCAAUAGCCAGUAAAUGUAUCUUGACUUAUAGCUAUUGUGGCACUGACGAUGUGGAAUGUCCUGUGUUUGUGCUUUUGCUGUUUUCAUUGCCAUAAUUAAUUCUCUCUGUUUUUGUUGGAGUUUGUUCUGUUGGUUCUGGAAGGCAACUUGGAAGCUCUGUUUAUGUUGGUACUACUAACAGCAUCUUGUACCCUUUGACAUCUGUUUUGGCUAGCACAAAUGAGUCGACUUAAAUUCACAAAGCUCUCUAUGUGCAAGCCUUCAUAACAGCACUUCUUGACUGGCCAGCACCCUGGUUUCUGCAUCCUGUUUCAUGGGUGGACCGAUCCCCCUGGUUGACCAAUCACCACUUUUACAAAUUCUUGCUUACGAACGCUUUCUGAAUCUGCUCUCGGGUUCCUUGUGCACCGCCUUACUGUUUCAAACAUUGAAGUGUUAUGCUAUUACAAAAAUUAGCAGCAUCAGAAAUGUUUGUAUUCUUGUUGUGUGGCCUCUUUCCCAGCUCCUCGGCCAUCAAAAUUGCUCGUCUCCCGAAGCGACCGUCAUACUGAAUGUGCUGCGUUGCCAUAAUGCCGCGAAUGAACUGAGUCGAACCACAAAAGGUUAUAGGGUAUUACAGCACCGUAACCAGUCACAAGCACAGUGAAAACAGCGCCGAUUCCAACCAAAAACAAGUUAGCACUUCGGUCGACCUGUCCAUGGAUUGGAUCGAGCCGUAAGGUUACAGGUUGCCAACGUAACGCAAGAAAUCGUGGGAUUUAGUAGAUUUGUUUUAAAUGGUCAAUUUUGACGUUAUUCGAAUGAACACAAGGGUCAUGGUUCAAGCAACGAAAAUUGUGAAAAAAGUACACUUGUGUUACAAUCGAAUAAAUACCGCAAUUUUUGAAUAAUUUAAUCUACCUUCCUUGCAAGCAGUGCAGGUUCGUGCCGUGGGAUUAUUCAGGCAGUCUGUACCUGUUUUUUGGGCAAGACAUCGUCACUGCCUAUAUUCUUAAGUUUUUUUUUAUUAUACGAUGCCCCGAUUAUAGAGCGGUUUUGUGUGGUCCCCUCAAAGCCUUAUAAUCGGGGAUCCACUGUAAUUGCAAUGUAAAUUGUCUUUCAAUGCCUGUGUUCAUAUAUGAGGUCUUGCAAUCGUGGUGUAGGGUGUUCAUGCCUAAUUUGUGAAAACUUUUCGUUUCAGACCUGAAGCCUACAGCUUCAGAUUGUGCGCUUGACUGUCAAGCCUUGUGAAGGAGAGGAUGGAGGCUUUUAUUUCCCCUUACCACCCGGAUGCGUCACAUCAUAUGCCUACGGUGAAAUACGAGGGAACUAGCCUGCUGCAAGCAAGAGCCCUCCAUGUACAGCUCGAAUCGAUCAAGAUUGACGAAGAUGACCUUGUCUCUGGCCUUGCCAUGCAGAUUGCCCUUUACUGGAUAUUCGACAUUGUUUUUGCGCCAAAGGCACAAAGAACAUUUGACCAUAUGCCACAUGGUCGGUGUUAACAGUGGUGUGUGGCCAACUCCACUUGUGCGCGUGUCACACACGUUGCUACUGUAAAAAAAAAUAAAGUGUUCUAUUGUUUAUAUUUUCUCCAUAUUUUAUGUUACAAGCACCCAAGCAGCUCUUGUUCUGUGUCUGAAAAACAUGUUCGAGAUAAAAAAAAAUCCCAGCCCAAGCAGCUCUGCUCAUGUCUUGGGCCUCUGAAAAGCAUGUUCGAGACAAAAAAUUAACCCUAUAAGGAGUAACACCAAUAUGGAGUACUAAACAGUUCAUCCCCUGGGGAGUAACUGGAAGGAUGAGCAGUUGGUCCUCGGAGAGUAACUGCAAGGACCAACAUUUAGUCCUCGGGGAGCAGCUGGUGGGACUAACAUUUAAUCUCUGGGGAGCAACUGGGGAGACUAACAUUUCAUCCUCCAGGGAGUAACUGGAGGGACCAAAAGUUAAUCUCCAAGGGAGUAA